rnacentral:rRNA from 1 species
UGGCUCAGAUUGAACGCUGGCGGCAGGCCUAACACAUGCAAGUCGAGCGGCAGCACAGGUACUUGUACUGGGUGGCGAGCGGCGGACGGGUGAGUAAUACCUAGGAAUCUGCCUGAUAGUGGGGGACAACGUUCGGAAACGGACGCUAAUACCGCAUACGUCCUACGGGAGAAAGCAGGGGACCUUCGGGCCUUGCGCUAUCAGAUGAGCCUAGGUCGGAUUAGCUAGUUGGUGAGGUAAUGGCUCACCAAGGCGACGAUCCGUAACUGGUCUGAGAGGAUGAUCAGUCACACUGGAACUGAGACACGGUCCAGACUCCUACGGGAGGCAGCAGUGGGGAAUAUUGGACAAUGGGCGAAAGCCUGAUCCAGCCAUGCCGCGUGUGUGAAGAAGGUCUUCGGAUUGUAAAGCACUUUAAGUUGGGAGGAAGGGCAUUAACCUAAUACGUUAGUGUUUUGACGUUACCGACAGAAUAAGCACCGGCUAACUCUGUGCCAGCA